AGUUCAGAUUGCAGGACUGCAACUCGCCUGCAUGAAGUCGGAAUUGCUAGUAAUCGCAGAUCAGCAUGCUGCGGUGAAUACGUUCCCGGGCCUUGUACACACCGCCCGUCACACCAUGGGAGUCGGUAACACCCGAAGUCGGUAGCCUAACCGUAAGGAGGGCGCCGCCGAAGGUGGGAUUGAUGACUGGGGUGAAGUCGUAACAAGGUAAC
rnacentral:rRNA from 1 species